rnacentral:rRNA from 1 species
UGCUAUUAGAUGAGCCUAAAUCAGAUUAGCUAGUUGGUGGGGUAAAGGCCCACCAAGGCGACGAUCUGUAACUGGUCUGAGAGGAUGAUCAGUCACACCGGAACUGAGACACGGUCCGGACUCCUACGGGAGGCAGCAGUGGGGAAUAUUGGACAAUGGGGGCAACCCUGAUCCAGCCAUGCCGCGUGUGUGAAGAAGGCCUUUUGGUUGUAAAGCACUUUAAGCAGGGAGGAGAGGCUAAUGGUUAAUACCCAUUAGAUUAGACGUUACCUGCAGAAUAAGCACCGGCUAACUCUGUGCCAGCAGCCGCGGUAAUACAGAGGGUGCGAGCGUUAAUCGGAAUUACUGGGCGUAAAGCGAGUGUAGGUGGCUCAUUAAGUCACAUGUGAAAUCCCCGGGCUUAACCUGGGAACUGCAUGUGAUACUGGUGGUGCUAGAAUAUGUGAGAGGGAAGUAGAAUUCCAGGUGUAGCGGUGAAAUGCGUAGAGAUCUGGAGGAAUACCGAUGGCGAAGGCAGCUUCCUGGCAUAAUAUUGACACUGAGAUUCGAAAGCGUGGGUAGCAAACAGGAUUAGAUACCCUGGUAGUCCACGCCGUAAACGAUGUCUACUAGCCGUUGGGGUCCUUGAGACUUUAGUGGCGCAGUUAACGCGAUAAGUAGACCGCCUGGGGAGUACGGCCGCAAGGUUAAAACUCAAAUGAAUUGACGGGGGCCCGCACAAGCGGUGGAGCAUGUGGUUUAAUUCGAUGCAACGCGAAGAACCUUACCUGGUCUUGACAUAGUGAGAAUCCUGCAGAGAUGCGGGAGUGCCUUCGGGAAUUCACAUACAGGUGCUGCAUGGCUGUCGUCAGCUCGUGUCGUGAGAUGUUGGGUUAAGUCCCGCAACGAGCGCAACCCUUUUCCUUAUUUGCCAGCGGGUUAAGCCGGGAACUUUAAGGAUACUGCCAGUGACAAACUGGAGGAAGGCGGGGACGACGUCAAGUCAUCAUGGCCCUUACGACCAGGGCUACACACGUGCUACAAUGGUAGGUACAGAGGGUUGCUACACAGCGAUGUGAUGCUAAUCUCAAAAAGCCUAUCGUAGUCCGGAUUGGAGUCUGCAACUCGACUCCAUGAAGUCGGAAUCGCUAGUAAUCGCAGAUCAGAAUGCUGCGGUGAAUACGUUCCCGGGCCUUGUACACACCGCCCGUCACACCAUGGGAGUCUAUUGCACCAGAAGUAGGUAGCCUAACGCAAGAGGGCGCUUACCACGGUGUGGUCGAUG